GAUGAACGCUGGCGGCGUGCCUAAUACAUGCAAGUCGAGCGAACAGAUGAGGAGCUUGCUCCUCUGACGUUAGCGGCGGACGGGUGAGUAACACGUGGAUAACCUACCUAUAAGACUGGGAUAACUUCGGGAAACCGGAGCUAAUACCGGAUAAUAUAUUGAACCGCAUGGUUCAAUAGUGAAAGACGGUUUUGCUGUCACUUAUAGAUGGAUCCGCGCCGCAUUAGCUAGUUGGUAAGGUAACGGCUUACCAAGGCAACGAUGCGUAGCCGACCUGAGAGGGUGAUCGGCCACACUGGAACUGAGACACGGUCCAGACUCCUACGGGAGGCAGCAGUAGGGAAUCUUCCGCAAUGGGCGAAAGCCUGACGGGGCAACGCCGCGUGAGUGAUGAAGGUCUUCGGAUCUUAAAACUCUGUUAUUAGGGAAGAACAAAUGUGUAAGUAACUAUGCACGUCUUGACGGUACCUAAUCAGAAAGCCACGGCUAACUACGUG
rnacentral:rRNA from 1 species